rnacentral:rRNA from 1 species
UACGUAGGGUGCAAGCGUUAAUCGGAAUACUGGGCGUAAAGCGUGCGCAGGCGGUUUUGUAAGACAGAGGUGAAAUCCCCGGGCUUAACCUGGGAACUGCCUUUGUGACUGCAAGGCUUGAGUGCGGCAGAGGGGGGAUGGAAUUCCGCGUGUAGCAGUGAAAUGCGUAGAUAUGCGGAGGAACACCGAUGGCGAAGGCAAUCCCCUGGGCCUGCACUGACGCUCAUGCACGAAAGCGUGGGAGCGAAACAGG